GGCUGUGCGAGGAGGCGACUCUCCUGGCGGAGCUCCUGGCUUUGGGCUGAUGCUCGUGUGGCUGUGGGAGAAGGGCACCUGGUCUGCAGUGCCCACCCAGGCCUAAAACGCAGCCAGGUAACACGCCCUCAGGUGUGUUAGUCUAUGGGUUAAUGAGCGCUGAGAGCUUUUGAUCUUGUUAACUCGAUUGAACCAACGUUAUUGGAAAAUAAAUCAGUUUAACCCGUUAGGAUGGAUGUCUGUGUCUGGUCCAAAAUAGAAAGCAUGUACUUUUUGAGAACAAACAUGCUUUAAAACUGAGGUUUACACGUUUCAAAUGGUGUUUUAAUGCGUGUUAUCCAGCUAAAAUGAGCUUGGGCUUUAAUGAGGCCAGUUAACACAAUUUACAGGAUUAAUUUGUGCCCCAGCUCGGAGUGGCUAACUCAAUUUUAAAAGCACAUUUGUCUAGACAUGCAUUUAUGUGGGCUGGGUCUGAACCAUCUGCAAUUGUGAGCAAUUUGGGAUUGGACCUGUCUGUCACAGGGAUAGCAAACGUGGGGCCAAUGUGGGGUCUUCCCAGGAGGAACAUUGUUCUCUUAUGUGUGUGUGCUCUUGUCCUAGGUCAUGGGGAAGUGUCCUGCCAUAGAGCCGGGCCAGAAGGCUGUAGGAUGGCCUGAGCACAAACCUGAAUCUACAGUUUGACAGAAAGGCUUUCAGAGGCGUGAGUCCUACCGCCCUUCUUAGCAUCUUUGAAACAGGAGCUAAAAUGCUGAUUUCAUGUUGGGUAUGUUGUAUUAUGGAAAAAAGAUGGAGACAAUGGAAACUGAAACACUGAAGAGAGGAAUACAGGAGUAUAAGUAUAUAAAAAUUAAGAAGAAAUAAACAAGGGACUGGGAGGACACAAGCACUUCAGGAUGGUUUAUUGAGUCAGUGCAAAAGAUGACAUUUAAGUCUUCAGUAACAGUCAAAGAGUUUGAUCUCUGUUUACAUCUGGUGCUAAUAUUUGUGAGUCCUCCUCUGGGUGAAGAGGAAAAUGCCACCAGCACAAAACACGUAUUCUGGUCCAGAAGCAAACGCUGAGCAUUCAAACCCUUCCACUCCCUGCGCAUACAACUCGCACCAGGGGCUGUGCUGCCCAGCAGAGACUUGCACGAACACUGCCCUAAUUCAGUCUGUGGCUUUCUUUGGGCAAUUAGGGAUAGGGUUUCUGAGGAACUUGUAAUUAACCAGGCUUAGCUGACAGAUGCUGUCUUACCAACGUGAGCCAACGCUGCUAGCACCCAGUGAAUUUGGAACAACGUUCCCAUUCUUCCCCCUGCUUCUAGGUCUAAACCAUUGCACCACACAGGAAAGCUGGGAAGAAAAUUAACUCCAUCUCAGGCAGUGUCAGUACACACAGAUGGAAGGAGAUCACGACAGGGAUGAAGAGUGGAGAGACAAAAAUCACAGACUACACAUCAGAAAAUGACAUGCUUCAAACCAACAGAGUAACAAUCACCAUUGUGCAGCACUGCUCCGUGGUUUUUUACUUUUACACUGAGGAUUGGAGUUUGGCCUUGGAAGCGCUAAUGAGUGACCUAGUGGUGCAGAGCUGUCAAGGAUCAUCUGUCAUUUCAGACACAGAACUCAGAUGCUGUGAUUCAUGGCCUGUGUUUGGUGUCAACAGGAACAUUGUCCCAGUAAUGACAAACAAUUCAGCCUGCAUGUCCUUCUGCCCACCUGAGCAGCUCCCAUGGUAAGUGAGCUAGCAGCUGCGUUUCACGGCUCUUCCAAGAACGAUUUGACAAGAAGAUUUGCUUUCCCUUGUUCAGAACACAUCAGAUAGAUGGCCAGUACUUCCUUUCUUGUUGCAAGUCCCAGCUCCCGAGGUAUGCUCUGUGAUGCUUCAGUAGAGUCCUUCAUUAAGCAUACUUUUGUCUUAAUUGGACUGAGGUCAUGUAUCUGUAUUUUACAGUAGCAGUUCAUCAUGUGAUGCAAAUAAGGCAUACAAAGAAAAAUGAUAUUUGUAAAAACGUAUUUGCAAUACCAAAAAGAAUGCCAGGAAGGAAAUUUGUAAUAAAAGAUGUAGGAUUUAUGGCUCCUUUUUUGCUUCACAUCCUAAUCUAAUUAUGAACUCCUUCGAACGGCAGUUCCCUUGUGACGCUCAUUUAAGAAAAGUAAUAACCAGUGCAAUGAUUAAAACCAACAUUGUAGAACUACUCCAUCAUACCCAAGAUCCAAAUCCAUCACAGAGCUGUCUGAUCUGAUCUGCUGGUGCCCAGCCCCCGGGUAUUAAAUACCUUCUCCGGCUGAUAUAAUUAUGUACAUUUGAUAAAUUUAUGUAUUCCUGCUUUUUUUCAAGUUGAAAAAUGCUUCAUUUUGAACAAAGUCUUCCAACAUGAGCUAAAAUGGAAGCAGCAUAAUGCUUUUCUUCGGGCAGCCCCACCCCACAGCUCCUCCCUGCAGCUGCUGGCAGGUGGUUUCAGACCCCCCGCACCACCCCCUGGCUGCACGCCCCUCUCCUUGCCCCAUGGCCCGGCUCUGACACUCGAUGGCUGCUCAGCAGGCCAGGUCAGGAACCAAUUCAGCUGAAAAUGAAUGCCCAAUGCGUGUCCCCCCCCCCC